rnacentral:rRNA from 1 species
AGAGUUUGAUCAUGGCUCAGAUUGAACGCUGGCGGCAGGCCUAACACAUGCAAGUCGAACGGUAGCACAGAGAGCUUGCUCUUGGGUGACGAGUGGCGGACGGGUGAGUAAUGUCUGGGAAACUGCCCGAUGGAGGGGGAUAACUACUGGAAACGGUAGCUAAUACCGCAUAACGUCGCAAGACCAAAGUGGGGGACCUUCGGGCCUCACACCAUCGGAUGUGCCCAGAUGGGAUUAGCUAGUAGGUGGGGUAAUGGCUCACCUAGGCGACGAUCCCUAGCUGGUCUGAGAGGAUGACCAGCCACACUGGAACUGAGACACGGUCCAGACUCCUACGGGAGGCAGCAGUGGGGAAUAUUGCACAAUGGGCGCAAGCCUGAUGCAGCCAUGCCGCGUGUAUGAAGAAGGCCUUCGGGUUGUAAAGUACUUUCAGCGAGGAGGAAGGCAUUAAGGUUAAUAACCUUGGUGAUUGACGUUACUCGCAGAAGAAGCACCGGCUAACUCCGUGCCAGCAGCCGCGGUAAUACGGAGGGUGCAAGCGUUAAUCGGAAUUACUGGGCGUAAAGCGCACGCAGGCGGUCUGUCAAGUCGGAUGUGAAAUCCCCGGGCUCAACCUGGGAACUGCAUUCGAAACUGGCAGGCUAGAGUCUUGUAGAGGGGGGUAGAAUUCCAGGUGUAGCGGUGAAAUGCGUAGAGAUCUGGAGGAAUACCGGUGGCGAAGGCGGCCCCCUGGACAAAGACUGACGCUCAGGUGCGAAAGCGUGGGGAGCAAACAGGAUUAGAUACCCUGGUAGUCCACGCCGUAAACGAUGUCGACUUGGAGGUUGUGCCCUUGAGGCGUGGCUUCCGGAGCUAACGCGUUAAGUCGACCGCCUGGGGAGUACGGCCGCAAGGUUAAAACUCAAAUGAAUUGACGGGGGCCCGCACAAGCGGUGGAGCAUGUGGUUUAAUUCGAUGCAACGCGAAGAACCUUACCUACUCUUGACAUCCAGAGAACUUAGCAGAGAUGCUUUGGUGCCUUCGGGAACUCUGAGACAGGUGCUGCAUGGCUGUCGUCAGCUCGUGUUGUGAAAUGUUGGGUUAAGUCCCGCAACGAGCGCAACCCUUAUCCUUUGUUGCCAGCGGUUCGGCCGGGAACUCAAAGGAGACUGCCAGUGAUAAACUGGAGGAAGGUGGGGAUGACGUCAAGUCAUCAUGGCCCUUACGAGUAGGGCUACACACGUGCUACAAUGGCAUAUACAAAGAGAAGCGACCUCGCGAGAGCAAGCGGACCUCAUAAAGUAUGUCGUAGUCCGGAUUGGAGUCUGCAACUCGACUCCAUGAAGUCGGAAUCGCUAGUAAUCGUAGAUCAGAAUGCUACGGUGAAUACGUUCCCGGGCCUUGUACACACCGCCCGUCACACCAUGGGAGUGGGUUGCAAAAGAAGUAGGUAGCUUAACCUUCGGGAGGGCGCUUACCACUUUGUGAUUCAUGACUGGGGUGAAGUCGUAACAAGGUAACCGUAGGGGAACCUGCGGUUGGAUCACCU